AUACAGUCCCUGGAGAGUGGCAGCAAAGUGCGUUGAGGAUGUGCUAAUUUGGACCCGUUGUCAUCUGUUUUGAUUCUUCUAAAUUAAGUAAUUUAGGUUUUCCCGCUGCCUAAAAGAAGCAUUAAAAAAGAUGCAGCGCUUCUGUCAAUGUUUUUUUUGGUGUUUUUAGGUCCGUUUGAUAUUUGUCUUUGGACCAAGUUAUCUUAGCACAGCAAUCGAUAUUAGGCACAUGUUUGUGAGGAAUUCCACGCAAGCAACAGAAAUUGAUAUAGGCUUUUGCAGCAUCAGUUGCCCAUGUAGUCAGGAUCAAUUAGGCAACGCUUUUUUAUGCUAACAUUUAGGACACAAAAAUUGGGUUAAUUGAAACUGUAAACUGCACGUUGUAAUUGGGUGUCGGCAUAAUUUUUAUACUGUCCUUGAUGUUAUUUUUGUGUCUAUCAUAAUCAAAACUUGAAGAUGCAAGGUACACAAGUAUUGAUCCUCGUUUCAUGUCAAUUUCCCCCCCACUGAUGGUCUCUACAAUUGCUGAAAACCAAAUUAUUUUCCCCACAUGUUUCCCUCCUAUUUAUCUGCAGAUUUCAUCUCAAUGACCAAGAUACAUUCCCAGCAAGUUUUCACGAUCUAGUAAUGAUCAUCAUUUUAUCAUUCAUGGAGUUAAGUCCUCUCAUUCACCACACAUUCUUCGCUACACUUCAAUCACUUCUCCAAAUUUCAAAAGCAAAUCAUGUCUGCUCCUAAGUGCUGUGACUGCGAAUGGCUAAAGGCUUUAUGCAACAAGUUGCAAGAUGAUAUGAAAAGAAUUGGAGAAGAAAAAAAACCAUCUGAAGGAGCUCCUGGUAAAGAAGAAGAUGAAAACAGAAAUCUGACAUCGGCACUAUUUAUUUGCAGCAAUUUUCUUUUCUGUAACAUUUUUAUGCUUACGACAUUGUUUUUGUAAUUUUUAAAAUAGUGGAAGUCUUCUGGAAGCUGGGUAGAAAAGGAGCAAGGUACUUGGCCUGCAUGUUUUUGUUCCAAAAGUUACUGUACAUUGGUAUAGUACAACAAAUUGAUUUGUGCGAUCAACUCUGUUUUACAACCAUCCAAGAAUAUAUCAUAAUUGCAUCCAACGAGGUUGUGAACAACGUUGAUGAUGGGUACAUGGAUGAUACAUCACUUGUUAGACAAUCCCUGUGAAUGCAAAUUUUUUCUUCCAACUUUAUGGGAGCCAGUAAGAAUUUCAU